UACGGAGGGUGCAAGCGUUAUCCGGAUUCACUGGGUUUAAAGGGUGCGUAGGUGGUUUUGUAAGUCAGUGGUGAAAGCCCGGAGCUCAACUCCGGAACUGCCAUUGAUACUGCUUAACUUGAAUCAAGUAGAGGUGGAUGGAAUAAUACAUGUAGCGGUGAAAUGCUUAGAUAUGUAUUAGAACACCGAUUGCGAAGGCAGUUUAUUAUGCUUGUAUUGACACUGAGGCACGAAAGCGUGGGGAUCAAACAGG
rnacentral:rRNA from 1 species